rnacentral:rRNA from 1 species
CCUACGGGAGGCAGCAGUGGGGAAUAUUGCGCAAUGGGCGAAAGCCUGACGCAGCGACGCCGCGUGAGGGAUGAAGGUUCUCGGAUCGUAAACCUCUGUCAGAAGGGAAGAAACCGCACCGUGCUAAUCAGCGGUGCAUUGACGGUACCUUCAAAGGAAGCACCGGCUAACUCCGUGCCAGCAGCCGCGGUAAUACGGAGGGUGCAAGCGUUAAUCGGAAUUACUGGGCGUAAAGCGCACGUAGGCUGCUUUGUAAGUCAGGGGUGAAAUCCCACGGCUCAACCGUGGAACUGCCUUUGAUACUGCUUAGCUUGAAUCCGGGAGAGGGUGGCGGAAUUCCAGGUGUAGGAGUGAAAUCCGUAGAUAUCUGGAGGAACAUCAGUGGCGAAGGCGGCCACCUGGACCGGUAUUGACGCUGAGGUGCGAAAGCGUGGGGAGCAAACA